CCAACGUGGGCAUCCAGAGAAGUUGCUCUCUCAUGGCUCUGCCCGUGUGGCGUACGGGAGCGUAGGCCUUCGGGCUCAAUGACGUACAGUCCCAUUCCACGACGUUGGAGAAUAAGCUUGGGCCUCUGGUCUUGCAGCCUGCAUAUUCCUACUGCUUCUCUGAGUCUUCGGACUGUGACUGAGGAGAUAAACCAUGCAGGAGACAUUG
rnacentral:snoRNA from 1 species